UUGGCCGCCAACGAUCUCGACUUGAUCGAUUCGGCCUCUCUUCAAUCCGGCUCCCAUUUCAAGUUCUCCUUCACGCCUGACGUCAAUGACAUGCUCAUGGAUAUUGGCAUCUCUAACAACGCCAAUAGCAUCGACUACUAGACGUCUCAGGCUAGCUGGAAGGAAGCGUAGAAGAAAAGGGUGCCAACAUUUUUCUUACCGACGUUGGCAUUUGUUUUAAAGACAGGUGAUUUUGGUUGUGCCGCUAAAAUCAAAUCACAAACAACCAUCUUUGGAGAAAUGCAAGGUUUUGAACUUGGCACUCAAGUAUUCAUGGCUCCGGAAGUUUUUAUGCAUACGAAGAAUGGGGGCCACGGACGCGCGGCCGACAUCUGGAUUGUGGGUUGUGUGGUGAUAGAAAUGGCAACAGGAAAAGGGAGGCCUUGGGUAUGAACUCGAAUCAAAUUACGCUAUUAUGUUCAAAGUUGGGAUGGGAGAAGUACCUCCUGCGCCACCUAUGCUCAGUGAAGAGGGCCAAGCGUUUCUAUCUCAUCUUCUUCAUUAUGAUCCGAAACAAAGAGAAAGCGCAUCAGCUAAUCUGCUCGAACACAAUUUUCUAAAAGUCUAUCAGGAAGACGACCCAUUUAUACUCCUCACCAUUUUGUACGUCUUCAUCGAUGUCUUAUCGUGGUGGUCUGGAGCCCCUUUUCGCUACGCAGGAGACGUUACAAAAAGCUCGGCAGGCAUAAUUUGAAAACUCUACGGUGUUGAUGGAUUGUAAUGCACCAUCACCAAGUCGUGGAAACGCCACAUUAUCGACUUUACCGCACCGUCCAUCUACGCGUUUUGUUGCAGCUUCGACACCGACAUUAACUCCCCAACCAGCAAAUCGUCCGCAACAAAAAAUGUAUCUACGCCUGAAAUCUCAUUCGAUGAUUGAUUUACAUGAUUUGCAAUGGUUGACAGUUGGCACAUGGCAUCAUUAACAAAUAACAACUUAUAAAUUUGAAAUUGAAAUCCA